CUCCAUUGCUGCUUGUGUGCAUGCAUGAGAGGGUUUAUGUGCAACUUUAGAGACGGCCUGCAUGGGCAGAGAAUCGCAAGAGGGGCCUACGACUCCCAGGUUGCAGUACAAGAACCUGUCUUACUGGGGCUAAUGCCUCCACUAUGCCAACAGAGGAAUUGCAGACUCAAAGAAAACCUGCAGAUUGAGCAUAUUAUACCGAAAUAUUCUGAGAAGUGGCCACCUAAGGGCCUGGUUCUUCUCGUGUCCAAUUGUCCACUUGAGAACUCUGACUGACAAUUUGUUGGAGACGCUACAUCCCUUCAGGAAAUAAACAAAACUCCUCCAUACUGAACCAGUAGAACACGCCUGACUCUCCUCCACCAGUCAUACAAGGAGAAUGGUCUAAUGCACAGGUUACACCUAAAGCGUGAGGACUUGCAGCGAGUGGUGAACUUCAUCAACAACUACGCAGAGGAUAAUGCAAAAGUAUUACCAGGAAGCCACCCAGGACACAAACACUUUGGUGGAAAGCUGCUGCCAUCCCAUGUGACAAAAGUAGCAGUGUGGCAUCUCUACAAGAAAUCGAUGACAUCACUUGCUAUGUAAAGCAUAAACAACACAUUUUUAUUAUUUAAUUUACCUACUUUUAUUGAUAUUUAAUUAUUUCUGUAUUUCCCAGAGGUACAUGUGUUCGGGUUGUGUGAUAUCAUUUUAACUUCCAGUUACCAAGAGGAUGUUUCUGUAUGCUGUGUUGCUGCUCUGCACAUUUGUAGGUAAGUGAAACUUACCUGAUAAUGAUGCAUAAAAAAAAUGAUGUUACGUUUACCGGUGCUUUGGCCUCGUCAAUCAGCGCUUCAGAAAGACCAGAGUGAACACUUUGUCUGAGAUUUCAGGUGUUGGGAAGGACAGCACUGUGACAGGGGUCAACACCCCACAGCUGAUUGGACUGGAGGAUGGUACGGUGCUGGUGGAAAGCUAUGGCUGGCAACAACACCCAACUCUGUACUUCAGGCCGCUGCCACAGUUCAAGCAGUACCAGCACUUCAGUUUCGAUGCUCUGGAGCCUGAUGUUGUUGUCGUCGAGGAGCGUUUGUCUCAGUCAGGACCAGGUUUCAGCUGCUGCGCAACGCUGACAUCCGUCCUCCCAUAGAUGGUCUACAAGCACCGCCUGGACUGGACACAGCAAGACAAACUUUUUGAGAAGAUCAGGGAGUUUUGUGACGAAGAGGCUAUGGACAUCACAUGCCCUGCACCAAAGUCAAGGGCAGGACAGAAACAGGCUCUCCGAAUAUAGAUUCCCUUGUUCAUGCAUGGUUCGGACAGACCAGUCAUCUGCAGUGCCUCUAUUUAAAUGACUCUCUCCUAACACACAUGCCAUACGUUGCUGCGCCUAUUAUUUUUGUAUCCUGCUGCUCAACCACUUUACCCCUGAUUGUAUGCAUAUAACUAAUCUAUCAAUGAUAUUGAUAUUGUUCUUACUGUAUAUUAUUAUAUUUUGAUUGACACUUUCUAUUUCUGAUUAUGCUACUAUGCAAGUAACCAUUUGGCUGUACCGUUUACACCUUCUGUAGAGACCCAGCCACUUGGCAAGAUGUGGAUGGGUUUAUAGCAUUUCGUUAGCGUCAUCUAAUAUUUAUCUGGACACUUUCUGUUUAACUGGAAAUGUUCCUUAUUGUAGGCUAUUGGCCUUAUUGUAAGACGGAAUUGAGCCGGUUGGUCACAUUUGUGGUAACUCCUUCAAGACUGUUGGAAGCUGGUUGAGAGAAUGCCAGGAGUGUGCAAAGCUGUCAUCAAGGCAAAGGGUGGCUACUUUAAAGAAUCUAAAACAUAUUUUGAUUUGUUUAACACUUUUUUGGUUACUACAUGAUUCCAUAUUUGUUAUUUCACUGUUUUUAUGUCUUCAGUUUUAUUUUACAAUGUAUAAAAUAGGAAAAAUAAGUAAAACCCUUGAAUGGGUAGGUGUGUCCAAACAUUUGACUGAUAUUGUAGCUAUUGGCCAUUUUUACCAUAGGUUUCCGAUAUAAAUCUGUCAGAUGACCUUCCUCUCCAAGGAUGCAGGCUAACAAGAACAAACCUGAUUUCAGCAACAAUUACAUGUCUAGACUGAGUUCCCAACAGACUGUGACUCCUGCCAAGCUCCAGGAUAUCGACAGAGAGGGGAUGUAGUGUGGAGAGAUGGAGCUCAUUAACACAUUAAUGGGGAAGGAAACUGUGAUAAACCGCUCUUUAGUCCACCUGGGGCUUGAUUAGAUGCAGUACUGUACCAUUCAAUCUGUGAGAAACAGGAAGUUUAUUAUUGGAGAGUGUGUGAAGAUGAUGAUGCCAUUUUGCCCUGCUCUACCCAUGCCAGACCCUUCUCUCUGGGCCAGGAGAGACUGAGGGGAUCAGAAGAGAAACGGAUGUCUGGAUAUGCAGGUGGUAUGUGUCUUCCCCACACAUAUAUCUUAUAACCAUUCCUCAGCUACUUAGCUGUUACGCCAACUUUGCUCACAUUUUCUCUUUAUACCUCUCACAUUGUCCUCCUCCUAUGACUCUAGCCAAGAGUCUCCUCAGUCUUCAGGAGAAAGUCUGCUCAUUCCUUGACAGAGCCAGUGAGAUUGCAAUGUAUAUGUAAGAAUACAGUAAAAUAUUUUACAGUAAAUGCUAGUGUUUGAGAAAGUACAAGAGAACAUUAAGAAGAGUACAGUACAGUAUAUUGUGUAUUUCUUAGUUACGAGUGGAGGUGGGCAGAGGAGGUUGCCCUAGUCAUCUUAAAGAGUGCAGUGAGGAAACCUAACCUCUGACCUCUGAUGUCAUCAACCUAGUUGUGUGUUGUAACUCUGGACCCAGGGAGUGAGAACAGAUAGCAGGAUAGUAUGUCCUUAUGAACCUUGAGAUAAUGUGGUAAAGUAAGGGGAUUUUAAGGUGGUGACUUCAGCCAAUUAAACAGUAGGCAAUCGGUAUGAACAUACAAACACACAGUCAAUUCAUACACAGUACCAGUCAAAAGUUUGGACACCUACUCAUUCAAAGGUUUUUCUUUAUUUUUACUAUUUUCUAGAUUGUAGAAUAAUAGUGAAGACAUUAAAUUAAGAAAUAACACAUGUAAUCAUGCAAUAACCAAACAAGUGUUAUGCAAAUCAAAAUAUAUUUCAUAUUUUAUAUUCUUCAAAGUAGCCAUCCUUGGCCUUGAUGAUAGUAUUGUACCCUCUUGGCAUUCUCUCAACCAGCUUCAUGAGGUAGUCAACUGGAAUGCUUUGCCAAUAGUCUUGAAGGAGUUCCCACAUAUGCUGAGCAUUUGUUGGCUGCUUUUCCUUCUCUCUGUGGUCCAACUCAUCUAGAACCAUCUCAAGUGGGUUGAGGUCAGGUGGUUGUGUAGGCCAGGUCAUCUGAUGCAGCAACACACAGUUAUGGAUAUGAUGACGUUGUUUUUUUACUUACCAUAUCUUUUCAUGUAAAGAAAAUUAAGUUGCUGAAAAAAACUUAAAUGAAACAUGGAGAACAAUCUUUUUUAUUAUCAAUGAAAUACAUUUGAAUGGUACACACCAAUAAUACCACGCUUAACUGUUGUAGAUGGGGCACUUGAUAAAACUCUAUUUCUUCAGUAAAUCAUGGCUCUUGGCCUGUACAAAAGGCAUAGACAUUUUUGUAGAAAUUUGAAAGACUAACUCUUAGGAGUUGCAUACUCUUUAUGGUGACCUAGUCACUUUUACUAAUCUUCUCUGAGAGAAAUUGUGAUUUUUUUUUCCCCCAAUGAGGUGUCCAGCCUGGAGGUGUGUUUUGGGUCAUUGUCCUGUUGAAAAACAAAUGAGAUUCCCACUGAGUGCAAACCUUGUGGAAUGGCAUAUCACUGCAGAAUGCUGUGGUAGCCAUGCUGGCUAAGUGUGCCUUGAAUUCUAAUUAAAUCACUGACAACGUCACCAGCAAAGCACCCCCAAACCAUCACACCUCCUCCUCCAUGCUUUAUGGUGGGAACCACACUUGCGGAGAUAAUCCAUUCACCUACUCGGCGUCUCACAAAAACACGGCGGUUGGAACCAAAAAAAAUCUAAUUUGGACUCAUCAGAACAAAGGCCAUAUUUCCACCGGUCUAAUGUCCAUUGCUCAUGUUUCUUGGCCUAAGCAAGUCUCUUAUUAUUAUUGGUGUCCUUUAGUAGGGGUUUCUUUGCAGCAAUUCGACCAUGAAGGCCUGAUUCACGCAGUCUCCUCAGAACAGUUGAUGUUGAGAUGUGUCUGUUUCUUGAACUCUGUGAAGCAUUUAUUUGGGCUGCAAUUUCUCAGGCUGGCAACUCUAAUAAACAUGUCCUCUGCAGACAAGGUAACCUUUCCUGUGGCUGUCCUCAUGAGUGCCAGUUUCAUCAUAGGGCUUGAUGUUUUUUGCGAAUGCACUUGAAGAAACUUUCAAAGUUCUUGAAAUGUUCCAAUUGACUGACCUUCAUGUCUUAAACUAAUGAUGGACUGUCGUUUCUCUUUGCUUAUUUGAUCUGUUCUUGCCAUAAUAUGGACAUGGUCUUUACCAAAUAGGGCUAUAAUCUGCAUACCACCCCUACCUUGUCACAACACAACUGAUUGGCUCAAACGCAUUAAGAAGGAAAUAAGUUCCACAAAUGAACUUUUAACAAGGCACACUUGUUAAUUGAAAUGCAUUCCUCAUGAACCUGGUUGAGAGAAUGCCAAGCAUGUACAAAGCUGUCAUCAAGGCAAAGGGUGGCUACUUUGAAGAAUCUCAAUUAUAAAAUAGUUUUGUUUUGUUCAAUAUUUUUUGGGUUACUACAUGAUUCCAUAUGUGUUACUUCACAGUUUUGAUUAUCC